rnacentral:rRNA from 1 species
AUUGAACGCUGGCGGCAGGCCUAACACAUGCAAGUCGAGCGGAUGAAGGGAGCUUGCUCCUGGAUUCAGCGGCGGACGGGUGAGUAAUGCCUAGGAAUCUGCCUGGUUGUGGGGGAUAACGUCCGGACACGGGCGCUAAUACCGCAUACGUCCUGAGGGAGAAAGUGGGGGAUCUUCGGACCUCACGCUAUCAGAUGAGCCUAGGUCGGAUUAGCUAGUUGGUGGGGUAAAGGCCUACCAAGGCGACGAUCCGUAACUGGUCUGAGAGGAUGAUCAGUCACACUGGAACUGAGACACGGUCCAGACUCCUACGGGAGGCAGCAGUGGGGAAUAUUGGACAAUGGGCGAAAGCCUGAUCCAGCCAUGCCGCGUGUGUGAAGAAGGUCUUCGGAUUGUAAAGCACUUUAAGUUGGGAGGAAGGGCAGUAAGUUAAUACCUUGCUGUUUUGACGUUACCAACAGAAUAAGCACCGGCUAACUUCGUG